GCUGUUAUUUAUAUAAAAUGACAUUGUUGUCAUUUCAAGCAAAUAAUGCACGUUAUUUUUUAAAGCAUUAAAAAUGUUGAUAAUUUAACAAAAAUGGAAAAUUGUUCAAGUGUUUAUGCAGAAUAGUCAAAUUUUAUAAGUUAUUGCCGAAAACUCGGCAAUGGGGCCAAGAUAAUGACGAUGUCAGGAACUAUUAAAUUAUUUGGGGGACGUAAUUGGCCAGUCGUAUCACAGAUUCCAAGUUUGUUAAAAUGCGAAAGCAACUGCUAUCUCAGUUGUUUACUUAACUCUUCACGAACCUCCUUAGUUCGUGUUAUUCCUAAGUUGAACUCGUAUUCGCAAAUUAAGUUUCAUCAGUUUAACCCUUCAAGAAAUGACGUUCCUAAACUUUUACAACCAACACAUAAUCAGUUUGAAUUUGUAAAUGGGUUCCCAAAAUCAUUCUUCUUUCGUCGCAAAAAUGAGAAUCCUGACAAUCGAAAAAGACGAGUUCCGAGGUUGAUAUUAAUACAAAACCCAUUUACGUGGCUAAUGAUUAAGAUAGACUUCAGUGUUUUGAGGAAUGUAUGGGAUCCGUCAUUCGAAGAAAAAGAAUUUAAGUUUGGGACCAAACAAGCGAUAUCCCGAAUAACCCAGGUCAUCAGCGACGGUCAGUUCGCGGAAUUGAAUGGGCUGCUAACUAAAGCAGCGCGUAUGAGUCUUCUGCGAGAGUUGGAAAGAAAUUGGAGCGACCGCCAGCGCACGCUGCUAGCACUCAGCCGCGAUGACAUACAGAUAUCGUCUCCGAGGAAAGUCUACUUCAUCAGGAUUGCAGAUAAAAGAUUUUGUGAUAUUGAUAUGGCAUUCCUGGCUCUCAAGUGGGCCCCAAUCAAUAGUAUAGAUGCGCUCAUCUUUACGGAAAUAUUUGCCCGGUUCCACAGAGAGUACACUCCACACUGUAUCCCAGAAUGGACUAUCGCUUACUUCAAAAUUACAAGGUUUGAAAUACUAAGAAGAUAACAUUGUAAGUGUUCCAAAGUUCUCUGACAAGAUCGUAAAAUUUGUUGUAUGACUUUUCUGCAUGUUUUUGAAUGCAUAAUUGAUUAGCGCCAGUACGCUUGAAAUGAAAAUAAAAAAGUACAUAAUUUAAUUUUA